AUUUAACGCUGGCGGCAGGCUUAACACAUGCAAGUCGAGCGGAGCGAGGGUGCUUGCACCUUAGCUUAGCGGCGGACGGGUGAGUAAUGCUUAGGAAUCUGCCUAUUAGUGGGGGACAACAUUCCGAAAGGAAUGCUAAUACCGCAUACGCCCUACGGGGGAAAGCAGGGGAUCUUCGGACCUUGCGCUAAUAGAUGAGCCUAAGUCGGAUUAGCUAGUUGGUGGGGUAAAGGCCUACCAAGGCGACGAUCUGUAGCGGGUCUGAGAGGAUGAUCCGCCACACUGGGACUGAGGCACGGCCCAGACUCCUACGGGAGGCAGCAGUGGGGAAUAUUGGACAAUGGGCGGAAGCCUGAUCCAGCCAUGCCGCGUGUGUGAAGAAGGCCUUUUGGUUGUAAAGCACUUUAAGCGAGGAGGAGGCUACUUAGAUUAAUACUCUGGGAUAGUGGACGUUACUCGCAGAAUAAGCACCGGCUAACUCUGUGCCAGCCGCCGCGGUAA
rnacentral:rRNA from 1 species